CGGGUGAGUAACACGUGAGUAACCUGCCCUUGACUCUGGGAUAAGCCUGGGAAACCGGGUCUAAUACUGGAUACGACCUUCCCGCGCAUGCGGUGUUGGUGGAAAGCUUUUGUGGUUUUGGAUGGACUCGCGGCCUAUCAGCUUGUUGGUGGGGUAAUGGCCUACCAAGGCGACGACGGGUAGCCGGCCUGAGAGGGUGACCGGCCACACUGGGACUGAGACACGGCCCAGACUCCUACGGGAGGCAGCAGUGGGGAAUAUUGCACAAUGGGCGCAAGCCUGAUGCAGCGACGCCGCGUGAGGGAUGAAGGCCUUCGGGUUGUAAACCUCUUUCAGUAGGGAAGAAGCUGAUCUUUCGGGGUUGGUGACGGUACCUGCAGAAGAAGCGCCGGCUAACUACGUGCCAGCAGCCGCGGUAAUACGUAGGGCGCAAGCGUUAUCCGGAAUUAUUGGGCGUAAAGAGCUCGUAGGCGGUUUGUCGCGUCUGCCGUGAAAGUCCGGGGCUUAACCCCGGAUCUGCGGUGGGUACGGGCAGACUAGAGUGCAGUAGGGGAGACUGGAAUUCCUGGUGUAGCGGUGAAAUGCGCAGAUAUCAGGAGGAACACCGAUGGCGAAGGCAGGUCUCUGGGCUGUAACUGACGCUGAGGAGCGAAAGCAUGGGGAGCGAACAGGAUUAGAUACCCUGGUAGUCCAUGCCGUAAACG
rnacentral:rRNA from 1 species